AAAGUGACAGCCAAACCCGAUUUCUUCGAAGUUUUUCGUCAAAUAAUGACAGCCAAACCCGAUUUCUUCGAAGUUUUUCGUCAAAUAAAUCGCCACGUUUAAGGAAAAAAAAAACAGGUCUCACCGAGAUUUGAACUCGGAUCGCUGGAUUCAGAGUCCAGAGUGCUAACCGUUACACCAUGAGACCGCAUUCUUCCGACGCCGGGAAUCGAACCCGGGCCUCCUGGGUGAGAGCCAGGUAUCCUA